GUGGACGCCAGUCUGCAUGGAGCCGACCUUGAAAUACCACCCUUUAAUGUUUGAUGUUCUAACGUGGACCCGUGAUCCGGGUUGCGGACAGUGUCUGGUGGGUAGUUUGACUGGGGCGGUCUCCUCCUAAAGAGUAACGGAGGAGCACGAAGGUUGGCUAAUCCUGGUCGGACAUCAGGAGGUUAGUGCAAUGGCAUAAGCCAGCUUGACUGCGAGCGUGACGGCGCGAGCAGGUGCGAAAGCAGGUCAUAGUGAUCCGGUGGUUCUGAAUGGAAGGGCCAUCGCUCAACGGAUAAAAGGUACUCCGGGGAUAACAGGCUGAUACCGCCCAAGAGUUCAUAUCGACGGCGGUGUUUGGCCCCUCGAUGUCGGCUCAUCACAUCCUGGGGCUGAAGUAGGUCCCAAGGGUAUGGCUGUUCGCCAUUUAAAGUGGUACGCGAGCUGGGUUUAGAACGUCGUGAGACAGUUCGGUCCCUAUCUGCCGUGGGCGCUGGAGAACUGAGGGGGGCUGCUCCUAGUACGAGAGGACCGGAGUGGACGCAUCACUGGUGUUCGGGUUGUCAUGCCAAUGGCACUGCCCGGUAGCUAAAUGCGGAAGAGAUAAGUGCUGAAAGCAUCUAAGCACGAAACUUGCCCCGAGAUGAGUUCUCCCUGAGACUUAAAGUCUCCUGAAGGAACGUUGAAGACGACGACGUUGAUAGGCCGGGUGUGUAAGCGCAGCGAUGCGUUGAGCUAACCGGUACUAAUGAACCGUGAGGCUUAACCUUACAACGCCGAAG
rnacentral:rRNA from 1 species